rnacentral:rRNA from 1 species
AUGGCACGGUUCCAGUUUGGUUUCAAGGCGGAGAAGCGAGGGCUCUUCUCCCUCAAUAAGGCCAAGCCGGCGGCGGGGACUUCAGAAGCUGCACACAGCUUCGCCAGCCAGGGCACUUGGGGGUACACAAAGUUCGUGCAAUGGAAUGCGUUGGAGAAAUCAAAGCAUCUCAAGGGCGAUUCGUUCACCAUCAGGUGCGACCUCACCGACCUCAAGAGGGUCCGCAUCGACGGGACUGCCCAGGAAGCAGCUCCAAAGUUCGUCGGCGUUCCUCCGUCCGACCUGAAGCAGCACCUCAGCGGCCUCUUCCUCGCCGGAAGCGGCGCGGACGUCGUGUUCGAGGCUGGUGGCGAGACAUUCGCGGCGCACCGCUGCGUGCUCGCGGCCCGGUCGCCGGUGUUCAGCGCGGAGCUCUUUGGCUCGAUGAAGGAGGGUAACGCCAAUGAUCUGGUCCGCAUAGAUGGCAUGGAGGCGCAGGUGUUCAAGGCUCUGCUCUGCUUCGUCUACACCGAUUCGCUGCCGGAGAUGGGAAAAGAAGAGGAAGACGCCAUGUGCCAGCAUCUGCUUGUCGCGGCGGACACGUAUAACAUGGAGAGGAUGAAGUUGGUUUGUGAAGACAAGUUGUGCAAGCACAUCAAUGUAGGCACGGUGGCGAACAUCCUGGCACUGGCUACUGCACGGCUGCCCCGGGCUCAAGACUGCAUGCAUCCAUUUUCUCAGCUCUCCGGCAAAUCUGAGGGCAGCCAUGGCCAGCGACGGCUUCGAGCUGUUAAAAUAGGUCUAGCGUCUCAUGUACACGUACCCUGUACGUAUGUAACUGUAUGCUGA